rnacentral:rRNA from 1 species
AUUGAACGCUGGCGGCAUGCCUUACACAUGCAAGUCGAACGGCAGCACGGACUUCGGUCUGGUGGCGAGUGGCGAACGGGUGAGUAAUAUAUCGGAACAUACCUUGUAGUGGGGGAUAACUAUCCGAAAGGAUAGCUAAUACCGCAUACGCUCUAAGGAGGAAAGCGGGGGAUCGUAAGACCUCGUGCUAUAAGAGUGGCCGAUAUCUGAUUAGCUAGUUGGUGAGGUAAAGGCUCACCAAGGCGACGAUCAGUAGCUGGUCUGAGAGGACGACCAGCCACACUGGAACUGAGACACGGUCCAGACUCCUACGGGAGGCAGCAGUGGGGAAUUUUGGACAAUGGGGGCAACCCUGAUCCAGCAAUGCCGCGUGAGUGAAGAAGGCCUUCGGGUUGUAAAGCUCUUUUGUCAGGGAAGAAACGGUUGUGGCUAAUAUCCAUGGCUAAUGACGGUACCUGAAGAAUAAGCACCGGCUAACUACGUGCCAGCCGCCGCCGUAAAAC